AUGUAUGGUCAGUUAAAUGGAGGCAAAGCUUGGGAGGCGGUGAAAACAUUUAUGCAUGCUUUGUUUGAAGAGUACAAAGCUAAGUAUGCAACAAGUGAUGCAAGCAAGCAUGUGCGAGCUCCACAAUCUGAACCAACUCAAAAAAGGGAAGGAAGGAAAUUGGUGUCGCGGAUAAAUAAAAAGUUGAGAGUUGGUGGUGAUGGUGAAGCUAGCAUGAGCAAAUCUGAAUAUGAGAAAUACCUACAUGAAGAGAAUGAAGUAAAUAGGGAUGAUUUUGACAUUCUAAAAUGGUGGAAGAACAAUGCUUCUAGAUUCCCAAUAUUGGCAAGAAUGGCCCGUGAUGUGUUGGCUGUUCCGGUAUCAACGGUUGCUUCUGAGUCGGCAUUUAGCACAAGUGGUCGCAUCCUAAAUGAAUUUAGAACCUCGCUUACACCAUUCAUGGUCCAAGCUCUUGUUUGUGCCCAAGAUUGGCUAAGGGGUUCUAUUACUAUCAACAUUGAAGAAGAUGAGGAGGAAUUGUUAAGAUUGGAAAAGGAGUUUGGUAGUACAAAUUCAUCCAAAUUGAAAGCAAGUAGUAGCAAGUCUGUUUGCAAGCCAUCUGGGGCUGAGCCAUCUUGCCCACCUCCAUCCUCUACUUAA
rnacentral:rRNA from 1 species